AUUGAACGCUGGCGGCGUGCCUAACACAUGCAAGUCGAGCGGUAACAGGUGUAGCAAUACAUGCUGACGAGCGGCGAACGGGUGAGUAAUGCUUUGGAAUCUUCCCAGUAGUGGGGAAUAACCAGUCGAAAGAUUGGCUAAUACCGCAUACGUCUGUAAAGGGAAAGCGGGGGAUCGCAAGACCUCGCGCUAUUGGAUGAGCCAAAGUCGGAUUAGCUAGUUGGGGGGUAAUGGCCUACCAAGGCGACAAUCCGUAGCUGGUCUGAGAGGACGACCAGCCACACCGGAACUGAGACACGGUCCGGACUCCUACGGGAGGCAGCAGUGGGGAAUAUUGGACAAUGGGGGAAACCCUGAUCCAGCGACGCCGCGUGUGUGAAGAAGGCCUGCGGGUUGUAAAGCACUUUUAGUGGGGACAAAAAGCUACGGAUUAAUACUUCGUGGUCUUGAUUUAACCCAAAG
rnacentral:rRNA from 1 species